AGAGGAAGACUGGGUUUAGAGGGAAAGCAGCCUAACAGACACCUCUUAUCACACAUCUCAAAUGUCUUAUUUACCUGUUCUGUUGAUGGACUUCUGAUUUGGUUGGAUUGCGGUUGUUGGUGUCCUCGUUUCCGGGACAACGACCUGCGGGUGGAAUCGGAACCACACUGGACAACACAAAGGGACGAUGAUGAUGUCGUAACCAUAGUAACGAGGACUUCCCACUUGUUCAACACUCUAAAGGAAGUGCUGUCUGCUGAUACUGAUGACAAGACUGCUACCAGGUUUUCUGCUUCUUUUAAGCAGACAUUUAUUUUUCUAUUUUUGUGUGGGGGGAUGGUUCUCUCUAGAUCAAACCCAACCCUGAGCUAUCCCCCAACUGGCCACGCAGGGCUCUCCAGAGGGUGGUGCGGUCUACCCAACGCAUCACCGGGGGCACACUGCCUGCCCUCCAGGACACCUACAACACCCGAAGGCCAAAAAUAUCAAGGACAUCAACCAUCCGAGCCACUGCCUGUUCACCCCGCUACCAUCCAGAAAGCGAGGUCAGUACAGGUGCAUCAAAGCUGGGACCGAGAGACUGAAAAACAGCUUCUUAUCUCAAGGCCAUCAGACUGUUAAACAGCCAUUACUAACACAGAGAGGCUAAAUAGCCAUCCACUAGCAGGCAACUACCCGGUGACUCAACCAUACACCUUACAUGCUGACCGCACCGCUCCUCCGCCAUAGCGCGCAUAUUGAUUUAGUCCACCCACACCAGACACGACCAGAAGGGACAUGUUGAUUUAGUCCACCCACACCAGGCGUGACCAGGACAGGCAUGUUGAUUUACUCCACCCACACCAGACGCGACCAGGACAGACAUGUUGAUUUAGUCCACCCACACCAGACACGACCAGAACAGACAUGUUGAUUUAGUCCACCCACACCAGGCGUGACCAGGACAGGCAUGUUGAUUUACUCCACCCACACCAGACGCGACCAGGACAGACAUGUUGAUUUAGUCCACCCACACCAGACGCGACCAGAACAGACAUGUUGAUUUAGUCCACCCACACCAGGCGUGACCAGGACAGACAUGUUGAUUUAGUCCACCCACACCAGACGCGACCAGGACAGACAUGUUGAUUUAGUCCACCCACACCAGACGUGACCAGGACAGACAUGUUGAUUUAGUCCACCCACACCAGACGUGACCAGGACAGACAUGUUGAAGUAUAUACUGAAGUAUAUUUUAAACCAAAUGCUUUUAGACUGUUACUCAAGUAGUAUUUUACUGGGUGACUUUUACUUGAGUCAUUUUCUAUUAUGGUAUCUUUACUCAAGUAUGACUGUUGGGUACUUUUUCCACCACUGCCAUUAAGCCUUCAGUAUGUACAGUCAUGGCCAAAAGUUUUGAGAAUGACACAAAUAUUAAUUUCCACAAAGUUUGCUGCUUCAGUGUCUUUAGAUAUUUUUGUCAGAUGUUACUAUGGAAUACUGAAGUAUAAUUACAAGCAUUUCAUAAGUGUCAAAGGCUUUUAUUGACAAUUACAUGAAGUUGAUGCAAAGAGUCAAUAUUUGCAGUGUUGACCUUUCUUUUUCAAGACCUCUGCAAUCUGCCCUGGCAUGCUGUCAAUUAACUUCUGGGCCACAUCCUGACUGAUGGCAGCCCAUUCUUGCAUAAUCAAUGCUUGGAGUUUAUCAGAAUUUGUGGGUUUUUGUUUGUCCACCCGCAUCUUGAGGAUUGACCACAAGUUCUCAAUGGGAUUAAGGUCUGGGGAGUUUCCUGGCCAUGGACCCAAAAUAUUGAUGUUUUGUUCCCCGAGCCACUUAGUUAUCACUUUUGCCUUAUGGCAAGGUGCUCCAUCAUGCUGUGAAAGGCAUUGUUCGUCAC
rnacentral:lncRNA from 8 species